GCCCGCCUAGCUCAAUCGGAUAGAGCGUGAGACUUUUAAUCUCAAGGCUGCGGGUUCGACCCCCGCGGUGGGCU
rnacentral:tRNA from 4 species